rnacentral:rRNA from 1 species
UUCGGUUCGGAAUAACGUCUGGAAACGGACGCUAACACCGGAUACGUCCCCCAAGCGAUUGGGUGGAGAAAGUUUACGCCGAGAGAGGGGCCCGCGUCCGAUUAGGUAGUUGGUGAGGUAACGGCUCACCAAGCCGACGAUCGGUAGCUGGUCUGAGAGGAUGAUCAGCCACACUGGGACUGAGACACGGCCCAGACUCCUACGGGAGGCAGCAGUGGGGAAUAUUGGACAAUGGGCGCAAGCCUGAUCCAGCAAUGCCGCGUGAGUGAUGAAGGCCUUAGGGUUGUAAAGCUCUUUCGCACGUGACGAUGAUGACGGUAACGUGAGAAGAAGCCCCGGCUAACUUCGUGCCAGCAGCCGCGGUAAUACGAAGGGGGCUAGCGUUGUUCGGAAUUACUGGGCGUAAAGGGCGCGUAGGCGGUCUUGUCAGUCGGAAGUGAAAGCCCCGGGCUCAACCUGGGAAUUGCUUUCGAUACUGCAAGACUUGAGUUCCG